GCCCAGCCCUAACAAAACAAUAAAAUCCACCAUUGUCCGCCAAAUAACGACGAGUUAUAACUUAAAACUUAAAAGACUUGACGGUACCCCACAACAACCUAGAGGAGCCUGUCUAAUAAACGAUACCCCACGAUUAACCCCACCCACCUUAGCCUAACAGUCUAUAUACCGCCGUCGCCAGCCCACCUCAUGAGAGAACAAAAGUGAGCUAAAUAAUCAUCACAUUAACACGACAGGUCAAGGUGUAACUAAUAGGUAGGACCCAGAUGGGCUACAUUUUCUUAUACAGAGUAUACGAAUCAACCAUGAAAAAGUAACUGAAGGCGGAUUUAGCAGUAUAUUAGGAACAAAAAUACCUAAUUGAAACCAAAGCAAUGGGGUGCGCACACACCGCCCGUCAUCCCUGCAUCCAAACAAACUUAUCCAUAAUAACACAUCACUAAACCAGGGCAAGUCGUAACAUGGUAAGUGUACUGGAAAGUGCACUUAGAAAC
rnacentral:rRNA from 1 species